UACAGAGGUCUCAAGCGUUGUUCGGAUUCAUUGGGCGUAAAGGGUGCGUAGGUGGCGGGGUAAGUCAGGUGUGAAAUCUCGGGGCUCAACCCAGAAACUGCACUUGAUACUGCCUUGCUGGAGUACUGGAGAGGAGAUUGGAAUUUACGGUGUAGCAGUGAAAUGCGUAGAUAUCGUAAGGAAGACCAGUGGCGAAGGCGAAUCUCUGGACAGUUACUGACACUGAGGCACGAAGGCCAGGGGAGCAAACGGG
rnacentral:rRNA from 1 species